CCCCGAACUCUCCUUUCUUUUUCUUUCUCUCCAGCCGCUGCCUUCCCUCUCUCUCAUUCCACCUCCAUCUCUGUCUUCCAGUGGGCUAAAGGAGGCAACGGGGCUUGCAAUGCAAGGUGGGACAGGGAGGCUAGCGACGCAAGGUGGGAUGGCGGGUUGGUUUCAUGUUCGGCGAGGCUAGGUUCAGCGAUGGGGUCGAGCUGUAAAGCGGCAGGGGGCUCGGGGCUAGGCUCGACAGCAACGACUGGUGGCUGGGGGCUGGGAUCGACGGCGGGUGAGGGGGUCUCGGGUCUGUGCUCAAUGGUGCAAGGGGGACGGGGUCGGGCUGUACAACGGUAGGGAGAAUAUUCAGGUAUACUUUGUCUUAUUUUUGCAGAGAUAGUUCCUGGGAAGUCACGAACUAGCGUGUAUGCAUUGGACAGGUCUUGUGAGUCUGUACUCUCAUCAUUUGCUCCCUCUGUAGUUGGGUUAUUGGCACAACAUGUUUAUGGUUAUAGAACGGUUGAUAAAGGGUCCUCUGCAUCUGAAGAGAUUGCCACAGAUAGGGGAAAUGCUGCGUCUUUGGCCAAGGCACUGUACACAGCAAUAGGAGUUUCGAUGGCUCUCUGUUGUCUUAUCUACUCAUUCCUGUAUUCAACCUAUGCAAGAGAUCAGGAGCGAGCUCAAAUGGAAACUUUUAUAGAAUCUGAGAUGCAGCAAAUAAGAUUGGAAUUACUUGCAGAUGGGCAACAUCCUCAUCAAAAACUGUUAUCUGAGUCAGGAGAACCAUAUUUGGAGGAAAGAACUGUAAUCGAACCAGAGAAGAUAGGAUACGCUAGAGCCAGCCCCACCACCACCAUUUCCAGAAGGCUACAUCCACUUCAUGAACACAUAAUAAAAAAAUGGCCCUGAAACCUAGCAAACAGGGGAGGCACAACCACCUCCCCUUGACACCAUCAUUGAUCAAGGCCCAGCUGAAAGAAUGAAAUUCUGAAUAAGAGGUAUCGCAUCAUAAGUUAUCUGUCCAGAAGUAUAUAUGUAAAGAUCUGAAGCUAAGUUAAUCACUACAACUUUAAAUAUCCGCUAACCCCCAGCCCUUUUUCAGUUGUGGUAAAGAUCUGAAGCUAAGCUAAGUUAAUCACUACAACUUUAUAUAUGUUGUGGUAGUUUUCACUUCAGUUGUUUUUCAGAGUGAGUACAAGGACAAGAAGGAGAAAUAUAUGUUGUUGGACAAUGAAUUUAGUGUUUUAUUUUAUUUGUAAUUUUUAUUAGAGUAAAUGAUUCUUUGUAAAUACUUUGUAUAAGUUUUGUUAUUUUAAUCUAUAAUUUUUUAGAUUUGUAUAUAAA